GAGGCCACAGCCAAGUCUCCCAGGAAGGCCACCGCCAAGUCGCCCAAGAAGGCGGACGCCUCUUAGGCCCGGGAAGUGCAAUGCCGGUGCCCCGUCUCCCUCCCUCGCUCCCUCCCUCCCUCUUCCCCGUCCACCUGAGUCGUCGUCGUCAUCAAUUCGUCGUUGCGUGCUAUCGUUGUCAUGGAUCAAUUGCUCCUCGUUUGAACUUCAAUUACGUCGCGUUUAGCUUCCGAU
rnacentral:lncRNA from 1 species